rnacentral:ncRNA from 1 species
CUACGGACUUGAUUGUAUUGAGCCUUGGUAUGGAAACCUGCUAAGUGGUAACUUCCAAAUUCAGAGAAACCCUGGAAUUAAAAAAGGGCAAUCCUGAGCCAAAUCUGUGUUUUGAGAAAACAAGGGGUUCUCGAACUAGAAUACAAAGGAAAAGGAUCCAAUGCCCCGAAAACCCAAGGUUUCCUCCGCAAGGUUCGUCCACGGAGGGUGAGUCAGGGCCUAAGAUCAGGCCGAAAGGCGUAG